rnacentral:lncRNA from 1 species
GCUCUUUGGUCUUUUGAAAAACAUCUUUUGCUGUUUCAGGAGUAUGAUGGUAAUCUACGCUCCUUGGAUUAUCUAUUUACUGAGGUGGGUUUCUGGGUUCAGUUUAUGGUCUGCCUUUGAACUUGAUGAUUCCUAGUACUGCUGAAUGUAUAAGUGCUCACAUUGGCCAAUUUUGUCAGUUUGAUUCUAGUUUAGCGAAGUGGAGUUAGGGGUGACCUAUGCACUUUCGUGUGACUCUUUCAGUCUCUAAGCUUUUGACUCGAUCCAUAUCCUUUCGUGGUGCCAAUGGAAGACCAUUACAAGGUCUUCUAAAGUACGAACAAUUAUCUAUUUUCUCUAUGUUUGUGGGCUCCUGGGACAUACUAAGUUUGACCAUGAGUGCCCUAUUUCUACUGAUGUGCUCAGGAUGAUCAUCGAUUAUAUGGUGACAUGAUUAUUAUUUGAUAUCUUUUCGAUAUUACAUUAUCGAUGAAAAGUAAAUGUGAUUAAAGGUUGUUUAUUUUGUGA